rnacentral:rRNA from 1 species
GACGGGGCCGCACAAGCGUGGAGCAUGUGGUUAAUUCGAAGCAACGCGAAGAACCUACCAGGCCUUGACAUGCUAGGGAACCCGGGUGAAAGCCUGGGGUGCCCGCGAGGGAGCCUAGCACAGGUGCUGCAUGGCCGUCGUUAGCUCGUGCCGUGAGGUGUUGGGUUAAGUCCCAUAACGAGCGCAACCCUUAUCGUUAGUUGCCAUCUGGUAAUGCAGGGGACUCUAGCGAAACUGCCACCGUAAGGUGAGAGGAAGGUGGGGAUGACGUCAAAUCAGCACGGCCCUUAUGUCCAGGGCUACACACGUGUUACAAUGGUCGGUACAGAGGGCAGCUACCUGGUGACAGGAUGCUAAUCUCGAAAACCGGUCUCAGUUCGGAUCGAAGUCUGCAACUCGACUUCGUGAAGCUGGAUUCGCUAGUAAUCGCGCAUCAGCUAUGGCGCGGUGAAUACGUUCCCGGGCCUU